rnacentral:rRNA from 1 species
GACAAACGCUGGCGGCGUGCUUAACACAUGCAAGUCGAACGGAAAGGCCCUGCUUUUGUGGGGUGCUCGAGUGGCGAACGGGUGAGUAACACGUGAGUAACCUGCCCUUGACUUUGGGAUAACUUCAGGAAACUGGGGCUAAUACCGGAUAGGAGCUCCUGCUGCAUGGUGGGGGUUGGAAAGUUUCGGCGGUUGGGGAUGGACUCGCGGCUUAUCAGCUUGUUGGUGGGGUAGUGGCUUACCAAGGCUUUGACGGGUAGCCGGCCUGAGAGGGUGACCGGCCACAUUGGGACUGCGAUACGGCCCAGACUCCUACGGGAGGCAGCAGUGGGGAAUAUUGCACAAUGGGCGGAAGCCUGAUGCAGCAACGCCGCGUGCGGGAUGACGGCCUUCGGGUUGUAAACCGCUUUCGCCUGUGACGAAGCGUGAGUGACGGUAAUGGGUAAAGAAGCACCGGCUAACUACGUG